rnacentral:rRNA from 1 species
CCUACGGGUGGCAGCAGUGGGGAAUAUUGCGCAAUGGGCGAAAGCCUGACGCAGCGACGCCGCGUGAGGGAUGAAGGUCUUCGGAUCGUAAACCUCCGUCAGCAGGGAAGAACGGUCACUGUGCUAAUCAGCAGUGAAUUGACGGUACCUGCAAAGCAAGCACCGGCUAACUUCGUGCCAGCAGCCCCGGUAAUACGGAGGGUGCGAGCGUUAAUCGGAAUUACUGGGCGUAAAGCGCUGGUAGGCGGGAUGUCAAGCCAAGGGUGAAAUCCCCGCGCCGAAAGUGGGAACUGCCGUUGAAACUGGCAAACUGGAGUGUGUGAGAGGAUAGUGGAAUUCCAGGUGUAGGAGUGAAAUGCGUAGAUAUCUGGAGGAACAUCAGUGGCGAAGGCGACUAUCUGGCACAUAACUGACGCUGAGGAGCGAAAGCGUGGGUAGCAAACAGGAUUAGAUACCCGUGUAGUC